rnacentral:misc_RNA from 1 species
GAUGAAGAACGCAGCGAAAUGCGAUAGGUAAUGUGAAUUGCAGAAUUCAGUGAAUCAUCGAAUCUUUGAACGCACAUUGCGCCCUUUGGUAUUCCUUAGGGCAUGCCUGUCCGAGCGUCAUUGCUGCCCUCAAGCACGGCUUGUGUGUUGGGCCUCCGUCCUCCUCCCGGGGGACGGGCCCGAAAGGCAGCGGCGGCACCGCGUCCGGUCCUCGAGCGUAUGGGGCUUCGUCACCCGCUCUUGUAGGCCCGGCCGGCGCUUGCCGACACAUCAAUCUUUUUUCCAGGUUGACCUCGGAUCAGGUAGGGAUACCCGCUGAACUUAAGCAUAUCAAUAAGCGGAGGA